rnacentral:rRNA from 1 species
AUGCUGCAGGCGGGCUCGGAGCGUGCGGCGCCGCUCCCGGGCGCGGCGAGGCUGUGGGUGCCGGGGAUGAGCCCCGUGGCGGCGGACGGGGCGGGGGCGUCGGCCAGGGCGCGGGAGAUCGCGCGGAGGCGGGACGAGAUGCUCGGCAUGCUGCGCGACCUCCCCGAGGCCGACUACGAGCUAUCCCUCACCGACCUCGUCGACAAGACCGCCGCGCCCGGGGCCAACGGAUGCGUGCCGCCCUUGCCCUUGCCGGUCGAGAGGAAAGAGGCGAGCCCGAGCCCCUUGGGUCUGGCCGAGUCCGGCGGGCAGGCCGAGCCGCAGCCGCAGCAGCAGCCGGCGAGGGCGACGGAGAGGAAGGGCUCCGCCUCCGCGAGGCGGCGCGGGGACGGCGGCAGCGGGGGCGGGAGCGGGAGCGGCCUCCGCAGCAGCAGCGACGGCGUCCUGCUCAACUUCUACAUGCCGCGCUCCUUCACCCGCAGCUUCACCGCGCCGCGCCCCCCCCGCACCCCCUCCUUCUCCACCUCCGGCCGGGCCGCCAGCGCCGUCGCCCCCGACGACUGCAACAAGAGGGAGAGAGACGGCGACACGGUCAGGUGCUGGCCGCUGCCGUGGGACCGGCGGUGGCGCAAGUCGAGCCGGCGGCGGCAGGACCCCGCCGCCGCGACGUCCGGCGAGCUGUCGGCGAUGCUGACGGCGGCGGACAGAGUCUGA